rnacentral:rRNA from 1 species
UACGUAGGGUGCAAGCGUUGUCCGGAAUUAUUGGGCGUAAAGGGCUCGUAGGCGGUUUGUCGCGUCGGGAGUGAAAACUCAGGGCUUAACCCUGAGCCUGCUUCCGAUACGGGCAGACUAGAGGUAUGCAGGGGAGAAUGGAAUUCCUGGUGUAGCGGUGAAAUGCGCAGAUAUCAGGAGGAACACCGAUUGCGAAGGCAGCUCGCUGGGACGUUACUGACGCUGAGACGCGAAAGCGUGGGGAGCAAACAGG